GACGAACGCUGGCGGCGUGCUUAACACAUGCAAGUCGAACGAAGUGGCGAACGGGUGAGUAACGCGUAAUCAACCUGCCCUUCAGAGGGGGACAACAGUUGAAAACGACUGCUAAUACCGCAUACUGAAGGAGGGGAUUGCGGUUGAGUAGCUAGUUGGAGGGGUAACGGCCCACCAAGGCGAUGAUCAGUAGCCGGGCUGGGAGGCUGAACGGCCACAUUGGGACUGAGACCCGGCCCAGACUCCUACGGGAGGCAGCAGGUGGGAAUCUUCCGCAAUGGACGAAAGUCUGACGGAGCAACGCCGCGUGAGUGAUGACGGCCUUCGGGUUGUAAAGCUCUGUUAAUCGGGACGCGGUACCGGAAUAGAAAGCCACGGCUAACUACGUGCCAGCAGCCGCGGUAAUAC
rnacentral:rRNA from 1 species